UACGAAGGGGGCUAGCGUUGUUCGGAAUUACUGGGCGUAAAGCGCGCGCAGGCGGUCUUCCAAGUCAGUGGUGAAAGCCCGGAGCUCAACUCCGGAACUGCCAUUGAAACUGUGAGACUUGAGGAUGAGAGAGGUGAGUGGAAUUCCCAGUGUAGAGGUGAAAUGCGUAGAUAUCGGGAGGAACACCUGUGGCGAAAGCGGCUCACUGGACCAUAACUGACGCUGAUGCACGAAAGCUAGGGGAGCAAACAGG
rnacentral:rRNA from 1 species